rnacentral:rRNA from 1 species
GAUGAACGCUAGCGGGAGGCUUAACACAUGCAAGUCGAGGGGCAGCAUAAGGUAGCAAUACUUUGAUGGCGACCGGCGCACGGGUGAGUAACGCGUAUGUAACCUGUCCUUAACAGGAGGAUAACCCGGAGAAAUUCGGACUAAUACUGCAUAAAAUUAUAAAUAGGCAUCUAUUAAUAAUUAAAGCUACGGCGGUUAGGGAGGGGCAUGCGUAACAUUAGCUGGUUGGUAGGGUAACGGCCUACCAAGGCAAUGAUGUUUAGGGGACCUGAGAGGGUGACCCCCCACACUGGUACUGAGACACGGACCAGACUCCUACGGGAGGCAGCAGUGAGGAAUAUUGGUCAAUGGGCGGCAGCCUGAACCAGCCAUCCCGCGUGAAGGAAGAAUGCGCUAUGCGUUGUAAACUUCUUUUUCAGGGGGAUAAAAUUCUGUAUGUAUACAGGACUGAAGGUACCCUGAGAAUAAGCAUCGGCUAACUCCGUG